GUGGUAGCUUAAAAUUGAAGCUGAAAAAAAAAAGGAAAAGGGAAAACUGUGAAAUUAGAAAAUCUGAGACGCGGGUGCCGGUGAAGAGAGCGUAGAAGGUAGCGAGUGAAGCAUCUUCAGCUCCAAUGGCGGAUACCUUGAGUCGAUCCAGAGACCUCGACAAGCUCCUUCUCCGCCCUGGCAAUCUUGUCGGUCCCAGGUUCGAACCUGGCGCCGAGUUGCGAGAUGACCUUCAGGCCUUCGCCAAAGUGUUGGUGGUAGGGGCAGGUGGUUUGGGUUGCGAAUUGUUGAAGGAUUUAGCCCUCACUGGUUUCCGAAACCUUGAGGUCAUUGAUAUGGAUCGCAUAGAGGUUACUAAUCUCAACCGCCAAUUCUUGUUCAGACUUGAAGAUGUUGGCAAACCCAAAGCCGAGGUAGCUGCCAAGCGGGUCAUGGAGAGAAUCAGUGGCGUGCAAAUUGUGCCGCAUUUUUGCAGGAUUGAGGACAAGGAAAUUGAAUUUUACAACGAUUUUAGCAUUAUUGCCCUUGGUCUUGAUUCUGUUGAGGCACGCAGCUAUAUCAAUACUGUUGCCUGUAGUUUUCUAGAGUACGAUUCUGAUGAUAAUCCACGAGAAGAGACUAUCAAACCUAUGGUGGAUGGUGGGACUGAAGGUUUCAAGGGCCAUGCUAGGGUUAUCUUGCCUGGGAUCACACCUUGCUUCGAGUGUACAAUCUGGCUUUUUCCACCUCAAGUAAAGUUUCCUUUGUGCACCCUGGCGGAAACCCCUAGGACUGCUGCCCACUGUAUUGAAUAUGCUCACUUGAUUAAGUGGGAUGAGGUUCAUGGUGGAGUGGCUUUUGAUCCAGAUAACCCUGAGCAUAUGAAAUGGGUUUAUGACGAGGCUGUAAAGAGGGCUGAACUUUUUGGCAUUCCUGGAGUUACUUAUUCUUUUACACAGGGUGUUGUGAAGAACAUCAUUCCAGCUAUUGCUUCAACAAAUGCUAUUAUAUCAGCUGCAUGUGCACUAGAAACAUUAAAGAUUGCAACAGAGUGCAGCAAAACUUUGUCGAAUUAUUUAACGUAUAAUGGAUCACAAGGCCUCCAUACCGAAGUGGCAGAAUUUGAAAGGGACAAGGAUUGUCUUGUGUGUGGUCCUGGUAUACGUAUUGAACUGGACACUUCAAUCACAUUGCAAAAGUUCAUGGAUCUUUUGGAAGAACAUCCUAAGUUGAGGUUAUCAAAAGCUAGUAUUACACAUCGAGGAAAGAAUCUGUACAUGCAAGCUCCCCCUGUAUUGGAAGAAAUGACUCGAUCAAACCUGAGUCUAUCUCUUUUUAACCUCAUGGGUAAACUGCCCAAGGAUGUCGUGCAUGUGAAUGGUAUGACAAUCAAGAACGACCAAAAGUUCUCUUGUUUGAGAAAAUUACGUGUUGUUUUCAAGGGAGUCGAUGGGGUUACGGAUAUGGAUACAGCUGGAGGAGCAUAACCUACGCCAUCGUAAAAUGUGUUGGUGCUUGGAGUUUUUAGGCUCUAUUAGGAUAAUUAAUGUUAGAUAUCUCAGAUUGUUUCCAACAUUGAACAGAUUCCGUGCAAGACAUUGAAGUCAACAGUCGAAUAUAUAAUUUUUGAAGAACAGUGCAAGCUACACUUUAUAUUAUUGGUUAAAAUUUAUUGAAUAUCACAAAACCACGAGUGAAACUUAUUUAAUAAGAUUAUAGAUCCACUAAAUUGUGAUUUGCAAUAAAUUUCAGUAGUUGAAAAGUAUUCGACUGUCUGAAGGUGUAUUAUUAGCACACUUUUCAACGUAUGAAUAUUAACAUGGAGUAUAGUAUUAUGUAUAAUUUUAUGAAGUGUCUGUAUCAAUAUAUAAAAAAAAUG